UAAAAGAUUUUCUGAAUGUGUUGUGUCAGAAUCCCGCUCAAUUCUUCUCAUUUACAUAAUAGCAGAAAUGUCUACUUUAUGCAACUGAGCAACUGGACAUUACCAGAAUGCUUUGCAGUGCAUUUCACAAAGACACUGAGUAGGAGGUGCUAAAGUGAUCCUGUGGAGAGCAGAAAAUAUCAUUGGAGCCCCCCUGCCCUCCAUCCAGGACCUGUUUUCCAGUAGAAACAGGAAGAGGGCAGGGAACAUCACCCCACUCACACUGGACAUAAACUGUUCUCUCCCCUCGCCUCUUUCAAGUGCGACAGAGCCAUGUUCACUAAAACCUCCACACACAAGAACAGCUUCUUCCCUAUUGCCAUCACCCUAAAACAGUAGAGGAAGAUGUUUUGAACACGAAGAGCACUGUUUUCCACGGGGAACCAGCAGGGGUGCACACUUCUGAGGAACCUUAAUGAAGGAAUGUGAGUUGAUUGUCUGCGGCAGUUGAAACUAAAUUCAUUUGGACAGCGGUACCAAGAGAACAAGCAGAGACUGUAAGGGAGUCAUCAGGAGAAGCUAAGGAUCUACCUGAUGGGGCUCCUCCAGAACCAGAACCUGACUCUGGGCUGGUCUCAGCCAGACGUCACCUACUGGGAGUCAACAUCUCAAUCAUCAUCAGCUGUGAACAACACCAUCAUCGUGCUGGGCGUGCUGACCUUCGUCCUCCAGCUGUGUUUAGUUCUGUUCUUCAUGCUGAGAUGUUGGAGAUUCGACAACAGAGUACGAGAGUCUCUCAAACACCCAGAUGCUGACAACAAGCUCACUGCCCUCCGACUCUUUCACCCAGACAUUUACCGUCAGCCCAACUACCAGCUCUGUAAUGAAGCUCCUGGCGCUUCAUCCCCUGCCACGUCUGCAGUUGCGGAAAAAUAUGAGCCCACUACAGACUAUCUGAGCGCACCGUCUAUACCAUGGGACCUUGUUCAAUACUGAUAAGCUCCUAAAUCUUCAACAGGGCCUUUCUCUCUCUCUCAUGUUCCGUCCUUUACAGGGUUGGAGGAUAUGGUAGUUCUCCACGUACUUCUAUCUUCGGCUGUUCUUACUGCCUCACUGUACUGCAUUUCUGUCCACUUCUUUAUAUUGUCUGUCCACAUUGCUCUUGGUCGUCCUCUUUGCCUUCUUCCAUCUAUUCGUCCCUCCAAUAAUAUUCUUGAUAUGUUAUUUUUUCUUAUGAGAUGACCAAAGUACCCGAGUCUUAAUAUGUGCUCUAAUUGUGUGCUCUUAUUUUUUAUGUUGUUUAAUACUUCUUCAUUUGUGAUUUUAUCUGUCCAGGAUAUUUUCAGCAUUCUUCUAUAUGUCCACAUCUCAAAGGCAAUAAUUCUUUUUAAUGAUGUUAUUUGCAAUGGUCCAGGUUUCACAUCCAUAUAACAUGGGUGACCAUACAUAGCACUUCAAAAUUCUCUUUCUGGUUGGUAGUCCUAGAUUUUUAUUUGUCAGAGUGCUUCUCAUUUUGUUAAACACACCCCUUGCUAUUGAGAUCCUCCUUAUAAUGUCAUGAUCAUUCUUUCCAUCUUCAGUUAUCUGUUGUCCUAGGUAUAUGAAUGUAUCCACCUGAUCUAUAGGUUCUCCAUCAAUAGACAUAUGAAUUCUUGGUGAUGGGCAGGUCUUUGAUAUUACCAUUGAUUUUGUCUUUUUGGGAUUCAUUUUCAUACCAAACUGUUUCCCUGCUUCAUUUACUUUUGUCAGAAUCUCUUUCAGUUGUUCUUCAUUCUCUGCCAGCAGGACUGUAUCGUCAGCAUACCUCAAAUUAUUGAUGUUAUGACCUCCAAUGCUGAUCCCAUCAAUAUAGUCUAUACUUCUGAAAAUAAAUUCUGUGUAUAAGUUAAAGAGACAGGGAGACAGUACACACCCCUGUCUCACCGCUCUUUUGAUUUUUAUUUCAUUUGAGUAACCAUUCUCCAUCCUGAUGAAAGCUCUUUGAUUCCAAUAUAGACUCUUGAUGAAUGCUAUAUCUCUUCCUCUCAUUCUGAUGUUGACCAGACAUUCAAUUAGCUUUUCAUGAUUGACUCUGUCAAAUGCCUUUUGAUAGUCUAUGAAACAGGCAUAGACAUCUUUGUUUACAUCAUUGCAUCUUUCAAUGAUAGUUCUUAAGUUGAAGAUGCCUUCUCUUGUUCCCUUGCCAUUUACAAAACCACUUUGAGUUUCAUUUAUUUCACUUUCUAUGAUGUUUUUUUUCCUGUUUAGUAUUAUUCGCAAUAUGAUUUUCAGCAUAUGGCUCAUAAGACUUAUUGUUCGAUAAUCAGGACAUUCUGUGGCCUUUGGUUUCUUAGGAAGUCUUAUGAAUAUGGAGUCAUUGUAUACCAUAUUGCAAAAUUGAGUGACAUGGUUAAUGUUUUCUUCAUCCAAUGAUUUUAAAAUCUCAGUGUUAAUGUUGUCAAGUCCUGCUGCCUUGCCUGAUUUUAGGUCAUUUAUUGCCUUCUUUACUUCAUCCACCAGCAGAUCUUCACCAUCUUCAUCUUUCAUUUCUUGAUGUUGAUUCCUGGCCUGUAGUAACUCUAUAUCUUCACAUUUGUUAUUCCACCAAGUCUCUUUUGCAUUCUUGCAUUCUGUGUCAAUUCUCUUUCUCAAGAUUUCAUACUUCUUGGGAUCUCUGUGUUUGACUGAUUUUCUUUCUUCCAUGAGAUUUAAAAUUUCAUCUGUCAUCCAACUUUGUUUUGCUUUUUUUUUCUUUCUUUGGGAGAACCUUCUUAGUGGCAUUCAUAAAACUGUCUUUCAUAUUCUGCCAACUUUCUUCCAGGGUGUCAGUUUGUAUACAGUUAUCAGUUGCAAGUAUGGAGAACAUAUUUUUUACUUUUAAGUUGAAUUUUUUUCUGAUGUUUUCUUCUCUCAGCAUGUUCAUGUUGUACUGCACAUGGACUCUUGGUUUUUGCCUUGUUUUCAAUUUUAACUUCAGAGUCAUAACAACUGGGUUAUGAUCUGAGUCAAUGUCAGCACCUGGGUGUGUUUUCACAUUUUUUACACUAUUCCUGAAUCUGUCAUUGAUCAUGAUGUAAUCUAUCUGAUUACGGUACACAUAUCCUGGACUUUUCCAUGUGUGUAUGUUCUUUGGAUGAUGUUUGAACAUUGUGUUCAUGAUUAAUAGGUUGUUUCCUUUGCAGAAUUUAAUUAGCUUUGAACCUCUAUCAUUUCUUGUGCCAAGACCAUAGUUUCCUUCAACUGGGUGUUCUGCACCUUUUCCUACUUUGGCAUUUAGGUCACCCAUUAUAAUAUUAACUUCUGCUGAUUUUGUAUAUUCCAUGAGUUUUUGUAAGUUGUCAUAGAACUCUUCAGUUUCAUUUUCUGUAUGGUCUUGUGUUGUUGCAUAGAUCUGAAUAAUAUUUACAUCGAAUGGUUUCCCAUUCAAUUUUACCAUUAUCAGUCUUUCUGAUACAGGCCAGAAUCCUAUCAUGGCAUUUGCAAUUUCUUUCUUCAUGAGUAUACCUACUCCAUACUGAUGUUUCUGUCCACCUGAAUAUACCAUGCUUUUAUCUUUAUCUGUGAGCUUUCCACUUUCAGUCCAUCUGGUUUCACAUACUCCAAGAAUAUCUAAUUUCAUCGAAUCCAUUUCUUUAGUAAGGUUGUGCAUUUUAGCUGCUUUGAAUAAGGUUCUUACAUUCCAUGUUCCUAUUUUAAGCAAUUUUUUCCUCAUUUCCAAACUUCUGUUAUCGGAGUCGAACUUUCCUGUUGGAUUUAAGCUAGAAUCGUCAUUAUCAGAAGUUCUAUUCAUAAGGGUAGGUGUUUCUUCCGUGUCACUUGAAGAAGAGUUCACCGCAGGGGGCCCAGUGAUAUCUCCUAUACCAUCACCAUUCCUAUUAUGAAGCAUCUACCAUAUCUAACAAUGGGAUCAUACUCAGUAGGGCCCCAAUCCUUUCUGAGGUAACUGGCCACUAGUCCAUGACUGUCAGGAGUGUGCCCUGGAUGUGUUACCCAUCUUGCUGUUGUGCCAUCCAAACCGUUGACCAUCUCACUCUUUGGUUCAUCCGCUUCUUCAGCCACUCCAGUCUUCAUGCACUUGAAGGGUGACUUUCCCUUAUGACAAACAUCUCAGUCCAGAGAUGUCCGAUCCCCUCACUUAGUUUUGCACGCCAGUCGAGGCGAGGUCCCGUGGUGUGGCCGUUAGUAUGCACUACCAGCUUCUUGGAGCCAUAAGUGAGAAUUGUGCAGUGGUGGGAAACCAAAGUACCAUGUCCACAUUCUGUUAAACAUUAUGUGCGGCUGACAAAAAUACAGAGGUGCUACUCCUACACACACUACACCCAACACCACAACGGGGCCUUUACAGAAUGCAAAUGACACUGAGCGUUCAAGGUGCUUCAACAAAGUGCACCAAGUGACCAUUUCACAUUUUUUCACUAUGUUACACUGAAGGCAAUCAUCACAAAUAGAGAUAUGAACAAAAUAUACAAUACUGUUCAAAAGGUUGGGGUCACCCAGACAAUUUCACGUUUUCCAUGAAAAUUCACACUUUUAUUCAUGUGCUAACAUAACCACACAAGGGUUUUCUAAUCAUCAAUGAGCCUUUCAACACCAUUAGCUAACACAAUGUAGCAUUAGAACACAGGAGUGAUGGUUGCUGGAAAUGUUCCUCUGUACCCCUAUGGAGAUAUUCCAUUACUUUUGAACAGUACUGUAUGUCCAACAUGUUAUCGGAAGGCCUCAAGUUGCUUCAGUUUAUCAUUUUAAAUAGAACACAAAAUGGAAACUUCACCAGACACCAUCCUGACACAAGCAGGGGACGACUGCAGCUCUUACAGAGCGUGUUUAUGUAGCUGAAAAUCACAGGUGAUGCAAUAUUACAUCAGCCGCUCAUCAUCUACGUGUGUCAUUUUUACUUGAUGCAAUCUGUAAGAAAUAUUGCCACAUACCUCCGUUGAUUCAGAUGACAUUUACAUUUUUAAAGGGUAAUCUACUUCUGGGAAGGCCAGUGCACUUCGUGAUGAAUAUAGAAACAUGCUCAUAUUUAUGUGAAGUGCACAAAAUGUGUAAUUUUUAAACACUGUGAUAGUAGUUUGAAUAUCAGAGAUGAUUUUUCUAAUGUUUUUCAUUAAGCUAAAGCUGCACUAAUAAAACAUUUUGUAUAAACAA